rnacentral:SRP_RNA from 1 species
ACGUGCUAAGCGGGGAGGUAGCGGUGCCCUGUACUCGCAAUCCGCUAUAGCGAGGCUGAAUUCCCACUCGAGGUGGACGACCUUAUGGUCUGCCUUAAGGAAUUGGUGUUGACGCUUAGGUCCUGCGCAACAGAAACCCAUGAACCCUGUCAGGUCCGGAAGGAAGCAGCAGUAAGUGGUCAUUUCUGUGUGCCGCGGGGUUACCUAGGCUGAGCCAUGAACUUAAGUAACGCAUGGGGUCGUUGCAUCGAAGGUGGGUGCACGU